GGGGUCCACAGAAUUGCUGCAAUAGUGACCAGACGUUCCCUCCCUCCCACGUCUGCUCGCGAGACUAGUAUUCAUGCACUCCUACCAUGUAUCCAUGGAUCAGAAAAACAGCUCCCCCCUUCCACAUGGUGCCAAUUCCCCCAACCAACUUUCAGGGACAAAACAUGGGGGUAUUAGCCCCCGACUGGAGAAAUCUUCUGGUGGUGUCUGACGAUGUUACAUUGCAAGCUGAGUGGAUGAGCACUGUACAGCAGUGUACAACGCUUUGGUUUAGUUAACUUGAGUGAUUGUGUAUAUAGUUCAGUACUAACUAACUGUAUUGGUGUAUUUUAACACAACUGUAGGUGUAUUUUCUCACUAAAAAUGAUAGCUGUAGAGUAAGUCGCCAAACUCUGUCAGACAUCAAAGUGUGUCGGGCGUGUAAUGCACGAACAUAACAAGAUUGAUUCAAACUAAUUACACACACUAACAGAUGGCCAUGGGACUACUAUCCAGCGAAAACUUGGAUAGGCCAAGUCGCUUCCAGUCCGAGCAAAAAAACUACCGAAUAAUUUGAUUUGCGCCAGAACGUACCGAUCCCCGUUUUUGCCAAACUACACAGCUAUAGAGCUAACUGACAAGCUGAGUACAAUCUAGAUAGAGUGCAUGCAGUACAGAGUGGAGCAAUUCCCAUAAUCAGGCAACCCUGUAAAGCAGAGGUACACUUGUUUCUUUGUGAGGGUUGUAAAGUGCUGAGUCAGCAAUACUCCAGCUAUAAGCGCUAAUAUAUAGCGCUAUAGCUGUGACUUACUCUAUAAUACUGUUGGUGUAUUUUAUCCACUUCACUUAAUUGUUAUAUGAGGGAAAGAACUGGUCCAAAUUGAGGUAAGAGGCAUAGGGACGAGGCUACACACACACACACACACACACACACACACACACACACAUACACACACACACACACAAACACACCUGCGAAAAUACUGUAUACGACGACCAGGAACAUCUGCUUAAUAAUAAUCUUUUGUGUAAUCUAACAUCAAACAUUUGUUUUACAGGAGCUAGAAGGAGGAGCAACUGGAACUCAAAUCUGCUAAACCUGACGAGUAUGUGUUUGCGCAUGAGCGGACCCACCAGUUGCUUCAGCAGCUAAGAGGAGCAGCAACUGGCCAGGGAGGAAGAGCUACCUACCAUUAAAGUUAGGCGUGGUUAUAUGCAGCAACCUGACCCCCUGCCCCUUUUUCUUGAUGGCAAACCCCGCGAGGUAGGACACACCUCACAUCACAUUAGUGAAUUCACACGCAACACACACACGCAGACAUGCACACAGGAAGUAUCUUCUUGAUUAUCAAAAGAAUGUCAGAGCUCCCCCUUUAUUUCCCCAUGCUUUUCCUCUUGGUACCCCACCACCACGUUCUUGAUUUGUGGAUUAGUAUACUAAAACUUUUUUCUCGCUAGUUUAAAGGCUGUUGCAGUCUCUUCAGAAUCUUUCGUAGCAUCAUUUGUUCGCACAAAGUUUCUAUAAUUUAGUCUUGCCUAAAGCGCUAGCUUUUUGUUAGCUACAAGAGUCAGAAAAGAGCUGUAAAGCUAGCUAGCUCUUGCAGACACACCCCUUAUUCCUGUGUGUAACUAAUGUAUGCGCGCAUUCUAUAAUUCUUCUGUUUAGCCAUUGUCUGUGGCUACUGCUCCUAUCUACACCUGCUUAAAGAUGUAAGCAUCAGAGGCUUAUAGGAGCUAUUCUAUCGCAACUUUAGGACGAUGGACUGUGCCAUCCAGUGGCCUAUGCGAAUCGCUCUCUAACAGCUGCAGAGCGUAAUUAUGGAAUUACCGAACUAGAGACCCUAGCAGUCGUUUGGGCACUGAUUCACUACCGCAGCUACCUUUAUGGACAAGAAGUCACUGUGUACACGGACCACUCCGCAGUGAAGGCUGUCCUCCUUACACCGAAGCCAAGUGGGAAGCACGCUUGAUGGUGGACCAAGACAUAUGGCUCUGGAAUCCGGGACCUGAAUAUUGUACAUUGCUCAGGCAAGAGUAAUGCUAAUGCCGACUCUCUGUCGCGCAGCCCUCUAUCUCGAUCCCCACAAGAAGGCAUUGGUGAAGCCGAGUGUCAGAUUGCGGCGAUUUCCUUCCGGUCAGUCGAUGUGCGUGACAUUUCUUCCUUAUUGCAGUCGGAGUUGUCUUCGCCCAAACAGACUAUCUCUAGAAGAGCAGAUGAAAGACCCGUGGCUAGAGAAGCUCUUCCGAGAUGGUAACCUGCUGCUGGAUGGGCAAGGAAAGUUCUACUACAGAGCAGAUCAUUGGUCAGAAGUGGCGUGAGCUCUCAGAGGAAGAGAAGCAACCUUUCAACGAUGAGUACGAGGCAGAUAAGGCUAGAUACAAUGAGCAGCUGAAGGUUUAUUGAAACUCGGUAGCCUUCAGACGAUGGCAAAAAGCAAAGCAACCAGCUGAGACUGCAGCUCGUGAGGCGGCCGGUCGAGAAGCAGCUGGUCUGAGUGAACACGGCUCCCCACCCCCUGCUGUGAAUGCCCCACCCAGACAGAAUAGUGCUGAGGCUAGGUUGCAGAUGAUGCAGCAAGAAGAAAAUGAUGAAGGUGAACAAUUUGUAUAGUUUCUAAAUUUCUUUUCUUCUGCAGAUGAGUACAUCAUCAAGAAUUAAGCAGUUGGCAGCAAUACGUUUUCACAGAAACCAUGCAUCGUCUGAUGCUGGAGAUCUUCGGUGACACAAAAAUCGCCGACACACGUUCUGUUGUGACCAAUUCACGACUGGUAGUCCUACGCAAGCAGGUCACUCCUGCAUCAUAAUUAUCGCAACGAGUUCAUAAUUUUUCCAGAGAAAACUGGAGUCCGAGAUCAAAGGAUUUGAUGUCUACAAGGCGAAGAAAACAAGAAAAGAGCAUGCAUGUUUGGACGACUCUGAGAAGUUUAGAAGAGAGCUAAAGAGGCUUCAUGAAACCCCACCCACAAGUUGGAAGAAACCAGCGCUGUCUCUAGCCUCAAAGGAUUUGCCAGAGCCAGUGUCAGAUCCAAAGUAUAAGACAUUGUGAAAGCAAGAACAUUCUCAUAUAACACUGUUGAGCUUCACUCUAGCAUCAAAGAUCACUUUUGAUUUUGUGAUGUCAAUGAGCUGUAAUUGCCAUGCGCAUUGAUUAGAUUACAAUGUAGAGUCUAGUCGGGUAAAGAAAUUUAUAUCAAAAUAAUGCAUGGGCGGCUAACUUUUCAAUGUAUACAUAUUUUCAUUGAACUGCUUCUUCUCAACUCAUCAGCAAAAAGCAUCAUGUCUGGACGUGGCAAACAUGACACCUAUAUACUGAGCAUGCCAAGAGAAAGACUGUGACUGCCAUGGAUGUCGUCUAUGCUCUGAAGAGGCAAGGACGCACUCUGUAUGGAUUUGGAGGCUAAACAUCUCAUUCUCAACUGAACUUAACUGGUUCUUCUAAGAACCACCAC